AGAGACUGGCUCGUAUGGGUAUGAAAGCCAAGGGUGCUUGAGAGCCUCUGAUGCAGAAAGACGCUUUAUUGGGUUUAUUUCUAGAAGAUGACCUACAAAGUAUGUGAAUCAUUGGUCUCCCAUUGGUAGCCUAUGUCUCAUUGAUGUUCUUUUAGGUAUCAGGUACUCCAAUUUGUUGCUUUCCUGUAAAACAUUUUUUUGAAAAAUUUGAGAAAGAAUGUUCUUAUUAGCAGCAUAUAUGCUUCUUCCAUUCAACACUAAGAGCUGCAGAAGUUUGAAACAAAUCACGUAAGUCAUCACUCAUCAGUCAUCAGAUACACAAAU
rnacentral:lncRNA from 1 species